UAAAGUCCAGUGAGCAGAAUAAUAAAACAUUCAAUUUAAAUUUCAUGCUUUCAUGGAAUGCAACACAUCACAAACAAUUCACAUCAAGGAUGAACUUGUCACCAAUAGCCCACUACUGAAUCCAAUAGUGCCAGGGGCGUAGACUGGGCCUCACUGGUCUUUCUCUUACUAUGGUGCCAGGGGCAUAGAAUGGGCCUCACUGGUCUUCCGUACCGUAUCAUAUCAUAACGUAGUGCGGCUAAAGGAUCAUCCAACAUUCAUCCACAUCAUCAACAUAUUAUGCAAUGCAACAUAUUCGUGAAUUCUAAUGCAAACAACCUAGAAUAUCACAUGGCAUUCAUGAUGCAUGUAUCAUGCUCAGAAUUUAUUGAUUUACUUUGAAACAUAAUAAGGUAUUCCACUCACCUCUGGCUGAAGCUCUAACAGACACAGAAGCAGCUGAACUCACUGCUGGGGUCUUCGAUUCCUCGGGUCCGAACCUACACAGGUGGACUCAAAUGAGGGACCUAAUAUAUAUAAACAUGACUCUAAAAU
rnacentral:lncRNA from 1 species